AACUCAAGAGAGUGAGGCUCGCCAGCUGUUUAUGUGGCGUGGAUAUUCUUACAUUUGUGACACUUUCAGUUUGAAGGCACAGAGGACCAUGAAGGGAACCGUGUGAGCAUUUCUGGGCAAAGCCUGAAUUUGAUUUUUUGGUUUGGUUUGUUUUCCUUCUUUGUUCUCCUCUGUGCUGGCAAUUAACACGUUCAGGGAAUGAGGGGUGGGGAAUUCUCCACGGAGGGGGUCCGAGAAGUUUGAUUUUCUUGUCCCCAACUACAAAUGAUUGCCUAAUUGGGAGAAACUGUAACUACAACAGUUCACUGGGGGAAACGUGAAAACAAAGUAACCAGAAAAGAAAUAGAAACCCAGACUUUUCAGUUCCUGUUUAUCCUAUUUUUAAUCUCAACAUCUCAGUUGCUCUCUUUCUGUUUUCCUUGCCUUGCUGGAAUUCGUACACACACCUGGCUUUCCAUUUGCCUUGGGGACAGAGAAGAGGUGGGGCCCGAGAGUGGGGGGCAGCUCCGCUGCGGGGGGCGGGGGGGGGACCAGUGCCACGGUGGCGCUUGUCAGAAGAGGGAGGGGUGCGGAAAUCUCGCCCCGUCUAACUCCAAGGUGUCGGGGGAACGUGAGUGAUGACCCCUCCCUGCAUUAUCUGCUCCCGCUAAGAGACCCUGGCCAUUCCAGCCCCAGUGAGGCAAAGGCAAAGAAAACCAAGGACAUUGGGGGUUGGAAACCUUGCAAGAGACAACAACUGUUCGCCACGGAGGCCGCUCUCUGCUGUGUUGGUGCCCAUGCCACAGUAUGCUCAAAAUUGUGAAAAUACUUUCUCUUCCUUUUACGAGUGAAAUAAUUCAUGCCGUCGUGUGGUUCUGUCACGG